AUUUUCAUUUUUGGGUGAACUAUCCCUUUAAACAGUAUUUUUGCAAAAGUAUCCUCAGACUUGGAAAAUUGGUCUUGUCUCCCUACUUCUUUUGAUGCUUGUAUAUCGGUGAUUAAAAUGAAUGUUCUCCCACAUAUUAAUUUCUUUUCAUCUAUGAUUCCUCUUUCUCCACCUGCUGGCUACUGGAACAAACUUGAUGCAUGUGUUUCUCGUUAUAUACAGUGGGUACGGAAAGUAUUCAGACCCCCUUACAUUUUUCACUCUUUUUUAUAUUGCAGCCAUUUGUUAAAAUCAUUUAAGUUCAUUUUUUUCCUCAUUAUUGUACACACAGCACCCCAUAUUGACAGAAAAACACAGAAUUGUUGACAUUUUUGCAGAUUUAUUAAAAAAGAAAAACUGAAAUAUCACAUGGUCCUAAGUAUUCAGACCCUUUGCUCAGUAUUUAGUAGAAGCACCCUUUUGAUCUAAUACAGCCAUGAGUCUUUUUGGGAAAGAUGCAACAAGUUUUUCACACCUGGAUUUGGGGAUCCUCUGCCAUUCCUCCUUGCAGAUCCUCUCCAGUUCUGUCAGGUUGGAUGGUAAACGUUGGUGGACAGCCAUUUUUAGGUCUCUCCAGAGAUGCUCAAUUGGGUUUAAGUCAGGGCUCUGGCUGGGCCAUUCAAGAACAGUCACAGAGUUGUUGUGAAGCCACUCCUUUGUUAUUUUAGCUGUGUGCUUAGGGUCAUUGUCUUGUUGGAAGGUAAACCUUCGGCCCAGUCUGAGGUCCUGAGCACUCUGGAGAAGGUUUUCGUCCAGGAUAUCCCUGUACUUGGCCGCAUUCAUUCUUCCCUCGAUUGCAACCAGUCGUCCUGUCCCUGCAGCUGAAAAACACCCCCACAGCAUGAUGCUGCCACCACCAUGCUUCACUGUUGGGACUGUAUUGGACAGGUGAUGAGCAGUGCCUGGUUUUCUCCACACAUACCGCUUAGAAUUAAGGCCAAAAAGUUCUAUCUUGGUCUCAUCAGACCAGAGAAUCUUAUUUCUCACCAUCUUGGAGUCCUUCAGGUGUUUUUUCAUGUGUCUUGCACUGAGGAGAGGCUUCCGUCGGGCCACUCGGCCAUAAAGCCCCGACUGGUGGAGGGCUGCAGUGAUAGUUGACUUUCUACAACUUUCUCCCAUAUCCCGACUGCAUCUCUGGAGCUCAGCCACAGUGAUCUUUGGGUUCUUCUUUACCUCUCUCACCAAGGCUCUUCUCCCCCGAUAGCUCAGUUUGGCCGGACGGCCAGCUCUAGGAAGGGUUCUGGUCGUCCCAAACGUCUUCCAUUUAAGGAUUAUGAAGGCCACUGUGCUCUUAGGAACCUUAAGUGCAGCAGAAAUUUUUUGUAACCUUGGCUAAAUCUGUGCCUUGCCACAAUUCUGUCUCUGAGCUCUUCAGGCAGUUCCUUUGACCUCAUGAUUCUCAUUUGCUCUGACAUGCACUGUGAGCUGUAAGGUCUUAUAGACAGGUGUGUGGCUUUCCUAAUCAAGUCCAAUCAGUAUAAUCAAACACAGCUGGACUCAAAUGAAGGUGUAGAACCAUCUCAAGGAUGAUCAGAAGAAAUGGACAGCACCUGAGUUAAAUAUAUGAGUGUCACAGCAAAGGGUCUGAAUACUUAGGACCAUGUGAUAUUUCAGUUUUUCUUUUUUAAUAAAUCUGCAAAAAUGUCAACAAUUCUGUGUUUUUCUGUCAAUAUGGGGUGCUGUGUGUACAAUAAUGAGGAAAAAAAUGAACUUAAAUGAUUUUAGCAAAUGGCUGCAAUAUAACAAAGAGUGAAAAAUUUAAGGGGGUCUGAAUACUUUCCGUACCCACUGUAUGGGAUGGGAAAUGUCCUCAAAUCAAGCUGACUACCUUACAGCAUUGCAGAUUACAUGAAGGUCUAUCUUUCCCAAAUUUUAGACUGUACGCUCAAGCCUUUACUCUCCGCCCUUUAUCAGUCUGGUUUAAUCCUGAUGCUUCUGUGUCAUGGAGAGCAACUAGUGAAUCUGUAGUCUAUCCCUAUGAACUGAAGCAUCUUGUUUUUUCAGGGGCUCCACUGAGGCAGUGUAAAUCUCAGUUUGGUCCUAUUGUAACUCAUCUCCUCUCUACAUAGAGGGAAGUCGAAAAGAAAACACAACAAGUUACAAUCUGGCAUAGGCAUUCGCCUAUUUUCCAUAAUAAUCUUUUGUCAGGAAAUGUCCCAUUUAACUGUCCACAAUGGACUCACAACAAAGUAAACAAAUACAAAUAAAAUCAUUUCAGAACAUUAAAGCCCAAUAUAAUUUACAAGGUACCUCUUUUUUUUUUAAUGUUUUUUUCGUAUUAGAGCGGCCCUUCGGGCAUAUGGGGUACCUUGGGACUCUCAUUUACCUAUUCACCCAUUGAGCAAACUAAUCCUUCCUUCUGAGAAAUCUCCCUCUUCUGUUUCAGUUGUUUAUCUGUCUCUUCUUGAGCAUUCACACAAACCCUUAUCUAUUACAACUGUUUGGGCCAAGGAUCUUAAUGAGGAUGCGCAUGUUUUAUUUUCGGAUAAGGUAUGGGGGAUGUUUAAGCUGUCUUCAAACCCCAAUCAUCAAAUGAUACACUGUAAAUUACUACAAAGGGUUUACUUGACUCCUAUGAAACAUUUCUAUACAAAUCUAUCCUCCUCUCCUAAGUGUAAUCUCUGUUUUCAAUGACCUCUAGGCACAUACUUGCACUUCUUUUGAGAUUGUCCCUCUCUCUCACCUUUUUGGACCCAGCUCUCACAGGACUUAUCAUAUCUGUUGGGCACAGAUAUAUGUUUGACUCCACGUCACUUUUUUUUUUUUUUUUUUUAAUGAUUUUUGGGACCUCAACAAAAAUAUUUACUGUUAGCCACUCUCACAGCGGCAAACCUUUUUUUCUUUUUUUUUUCUUUUUUUUUUAAUUUAUUUAAUUUAAUUAAUUAAUUUAUUUUGUAUUUAUUCUGUGUUUAUAUUUUAUUACUAUAUUCUUGAAGUCUACCAGGGGUGGGAUGGUUUGGGGUGGGUUCUAGACUUGUAUAACUGUAUUCUUGGAUAUCUUGGCCUUUAAAAAAAAAUAAAAGAAAAAAAUAAAACCCCUCAAACAGAUGGUAACAAAAAAAGAAGACAAAAUAAUAAGAAUUUACAAUUUAAUAAUUCUACAUACGUAUUUAUUUUUAAAGUUAAAUGGGGUUGUAUAUUUAUGAGCACAACUGCACAUGCUCUAUAUUUUUCAUAUUCAUCAUUUCCCUUUCAAGUUCUAAGCAGUCACUCUAAUUCAGAUUACUUCAUUCAUGCUUUAUUUUACUCUAUAAAACCCAAGGAAUUAAAUUGUAAAUUACAUAAUUGGAGAGUUGUGCACUUAUAAAUUAAUAAAUAAAAGUAGUUAACUACUUAUUUAAAAGAGCACAUUGACUAUAGUUUUUACCUGACGAGUAGCUUUUAAGAACUUUUUAUUUGAGAGAAUCUUCCUGCCACUGCUUUGAGUUCAAUACUGUCUAUUGUAUGAACACAUUAGAAUAACAUGGCUUAAAGCUUCUCGACAAAUAACAAACCGUCCAUUCAUCCUCAGACACAAAUCUUCCACCUCUUCCCUCCAAAUGCCACUGAUGAGAUAUCAAUUACAGUGAAGUGUCAGUGAGGAGCUGGGCCAACCUCAUAAUUUAGUCAUCUAUGGAACGUUUCCAGACAGUAGAUUGAUCCAAUCACUCCCUGGGUAUAUGCUAUUCAUUCAAGUGAGAGCAGGACACAUGAAAGAAUGAGGACACCGUCAUUUGGAUUUGUGCACAAUCUAUAAUUUCAUAUUAGCACAAUACAUACAGACACACUUCCUCAGAGCACUGACGGCUUUCACGUGCCUUUCUACAGAGAUCCAUCAAUAACUAUCAUUGUGAGCCCUCCACUUCACCAUACAUUCAAUGUGUCCACAAACCCACUAAUGCAAGGAUGAUUCCUAAAUCUUAAGAUCGAUUUUUUUAGUCUAUGCUGCUUUCUGUUGAUGCGUGAACAAAACUUUAUUAAACAUUUAUAGUGCUUCAUCCAAUAAUCGCAAUAAGCUUAGUGCUUUCUUACUUUUAAUAUGACAGUCUCACCUUUCUAAUUCUGUCGAUUUUGUCACGAAAUUCAAACAACAGUUGUCUUUAUGGCAUUCUUUAAUACGGUGUGACAAAUCACCUCGGUUCAAGAAGCCACACAGAAUAAGCGCACAUAAAUGAUAAUCAUCUCUUCCUUAGCACAAAAUAAACAUGAAUGAACAUCAGAAGGUAUGUUGAAAGAUACAGUAUGAUUACUCAAAUGUAUCAUGUCUCAUGUAAAUCACUCACUUAAUGUUACAUAUAACUCAGGAAAGCCAUUCAAUGACCAUAAACUCAUUAGUUAACCAUAAAAAAAAUAUCUCUAGAGAGAAGAAUUUUGAUAAAUAUAUGCACUAGAUUACAUACUCAUUAUAUUUUUUACUUAACUGUUAGUAAUGUCUUCAUUAACACUCGGCCGCACCGGCGAUACUACCUCGUUUUUUUUCUUACCAGUGCGAAAGAGACUCAAAAUACUUUGUCAGUUUUGUACAUAAAAUAAGAGUUAUACAUCUUUCAAAUCUGUGAAAUGUCUUCUUUAAUUUGUGUACACCCACAGUAAAACCAAAAUGUUGUGUUUUUUGCAAAAUAAAGGAAACUAACAUGAUGCGCAAUCUGUUGUCUCUCUCUGAAUGAAGUCCAUUCUGAUAGUGCUCAGAAAAUGAUCUGUAACUUAGAGAAUACUUAUCACACAAACAUGAGACAUAUGUAUAAAGAAACGUUGAAAUGUCAGGUUUUAAAAAAUAAUGUAAGUUAAAUGCAAGUCAAAAACAAUAUUCUCUGUUUAUAUCUGUUUGUAAAGAGAGUGAUGUCAGUCGUUUGAGAGUCACCUCAUUAUCCGCUAAUGCGGCCACGCCCACGGAGAGCAUGCAGCAUUCAAGCGCAAAUUCUGAGGCGAUCCAUGCAAACAGAGUCAACAACGCCCUCAUCAGCUGGAAAAAAUGCAUCAAGCUUAGUCAGAUUCAUGUGCUUUUCAUCUUUUUGAGAUGAGCAAUAAUUCUAAAAGGAUUUACCUCAGAGGAAGAACGUGAAUGAUUUUAAUUUCAUUUUGAGGAUCAACUUGAUCAAGCCGAGGAUUGUGAAUGGUAAGUAUUUUAUUCUUAAGUUCUUUAUUCUAAUCGCGAUAGACUAGUGUUUGUGAAUAUUAAACCGCAAAAAGACGGUUUAAAUAUGAAUCCUGCAUGUUCUGUGUGUCUCUGUGUGAAUGAUUGGGGCAGACGCGUGGUUUCGUUUAGGCUACUACACACAUAACUUACAUCAGUAAACAUGACUUAUUGGCUUUUCCCAAACUUUACUGCUAUUCACCUUAUUUUCCGCAACAACAAGGGUGGCGCCAUUGUGUUCGUUUUGUCAUCUAACUUCCUUAAUCCUAUAGCUGUAACGGUAGAUGAUAACAGAAAGCAAAUAUGUUAAGUAUUAUAUGCUCAUUUAGGGGCUGCCAUAACAAUUGGAUGAAGAAGAGAGAUCAAUUGCAUCAACGAUGUUACGAACACAAUGUGAAGCGGUCAGAGUGUUGCAGUGCACUUUACAAUUUACACCCACCACCUUAAGACAAGGAGCACCUGAGGCAAUGGCUGAAGGAGCUAAAUUUGAAGUGCCCACCCAAGCACCCUUAUGUGUGUUCGUACCAUUUCAUGGAUGGGGAGCUGACUGAAGAACACCCUUACCCCGAGAAAUGGCUCGGCUACGAUGUUGCGGUAAAGAAGUCACGCCGGGUGCUGAACAGGUUGUCAGAUUCAGGUAAGCUAACUUAGCUAGACAUGUGCUUGUUAGCCUAACUUUAGAUUUGUGAAGUCCGUUCUAUGAAUACAUUUGAGAUCAGUAACGAGCAGUUAACAAAAUACAACGAAUCUUGCAUUAUUACCAUUGCCACCAAUAUAUUUAUGAUAGUACAAUGGUACAUAUUUACGAUAGUAUUAUGGUACAUUAUAGUCUUACAGUAUCUUACAUUAUUCCUGUAAGUUACAGAGAUUGCAGAUGAUAGCAGGCCAGCUAGCUACAUCUCUCAUUCAGAUAUUGAUAUUGACCUACGUAUUAACACUAGAGUUAGAGACUGUGUGCAGACUGUCUCGUUUUUAAUGCACCUCUCUCUCUCUCUCUCUCUCUCUCUCUCUCUCUCUCUCUCUCUCACACACACACUGUUCUGUUUAAGUAUGGGUGCCAUCAUAUAUUAAUUCUCAUGAUGUAUUAAUACAUAAAGUACUAAUGUUAAAAUGUUUAUGGUUAUAUUAUUUCCACAGAUGCAUCGAUGAGCGUCAGUGAUCAACUGUGAGGAGGAUCACAUCCACAUGGCCCUGAACUGUGAUGCAGAAACACACUGGGAGGAUCCAUCUGUCUCUGACCACAACUAUGCUUCAAAAUCACAACUCAACCUGAAGCCAACUACAUCUGAUAUGACAACACAAUGCGUUGAGCCGGCGCCAUUGUACAUAACUCUGCUGAGAAACAACCACCUUUGUCAGCACAUAGGGUUGACACUGGAUGCAUUUCAUUCAGUCUCCGAGCACCUUACCAAUACAUACACCAACAGUUUCCAGCUACACACUUGGGAUCAGCUCCUGAUGACUCUGAUGAAGCUGCGUCUUAAUUUAUUGCAGGGUGAUCUUGCUGAAAGGUUUGGUGUUUCAAAACCUGGUGUUGUGAUAAAUUCAUAACUGCAAAUUCAGGGUUCCUGGAAUAUCUUCGUCCAGGCGAUGAAGUAAUUGCAGACAGAGGCUUCACCAUUACUGAUCUCCUUUAUGAAAGGAAAGUGAAACUUGUCAUUCCAGCAUUCACCAGAGAGGCAUGCAACUCUCUGAAGAAGACACCACCAACACUAGGCGCAUCGCCAAUGUACGUGUCCAUGUUGAGCAGGUCAUAUGCCGACUGAAAACCUUCAAAAUCCUUUCUUACAACAGUUCCAAUUAACUUUAGCCCUAAAAUUGAUAAAAUGUUGAGAAUUUGCCCUGUGUAACCUUCUAAGCAACAUAAUUUCUGAUGUAGAGGAUAAAUAAGUGUUGAUUUGUAGGUGCGUUCCAUGUCUGUCUGUGCUGUGGUGUUUCUUUAACUAAUCAGUGUAUGUAGUUAUUUUUAUAAACCUUUACAAUGUAACCAGAUGUUACCUAUCUGUAAAUUAUUUCUAUAAACCUUUACAAUGUGACCAGAUGUUAUCUGUUAAGUUUUUUUUUAAUCUUUACAAUGUGGCCAGAUGUUAGCUGUGGUGAAUAGUUACGUCUAUAAACCUUUACAAUAUGAUAAGAUGUUAUGUUUUGUGAAGUUUUUUUUUUUUUAUCUUUACAAUGUGGCCAGAUGUUAGCUGUCAGUAAUUUCUUAUAAAACCAUAUAAUGUGAGUUCUGUAAACUUAAAGGAAUUAAGUCAUGUCAAGUUUGCAAAUUAAUUCCAUCUUGGUUUAUUACAUAUGAAAAUUAAAUGGUUAAAUAUUACUUCUACAUGAAGGUCAGUAAAAGGUGUCUCUAGCUUCCUGAUGACACUCUUACAAUUGAUUUUAUACAACUUAUAUUAAAUUAUACAUUUUCUAAAACACAAAUCACAAAGUUAUCUCGUUUAACAAAACUGAUUUAAAAUAAUUCCAGUCUUCACCUACACCCACAUGCUGCUCCAUCAACUCCUGACAGUCCCCAUAGGUUACCCCUGGCCCCUUCUUUGUAUCGUCUACCCACGUUAACGAUGACGAUGGAUGGGACAAUAUGAGACCAUCUGAUCAUCGUAUAAAGUCUUCUCCGUGCUCCCAUUUUAAAACAUUUACAGCAUUAACGUUAUUUGUCAUUUCUCUAAAGUUAUAGCUAGCUAUAAACAAUCUUCUAACUACUGAACUACCUACCGGAUGUGCCGCGUCAGUUUAGCGGAAGUCGGAUGACAAAAUGCGGAAGAGCGAAGUAUUAAAAGUGGGCGUAGCGGAAUAAGGUGAAUAAUGAGAUGAGUGAAAUCAACUGAAAUACAUAAUAAAUACUGAAAUAAAAUGUGUCAGUCACAAAAACAUUUAUAGGCUCUAUAAUACAACAAAUGUAAUACAUAAAAUUAUAAGGUUUUAGAAUUAAUUUUAUUUAUAUAUUAUAGUUUUAUAAUUAAUACAUAAAAUAUUAACAUUAAUACAAUAGUUGAUAUGAUCCUGUUAUCGGCAUGCUCACAGUUGUUUUUUUUUUAUUUUAUCUCACAGAUUUGAGAAUCAUCAUGGCCAGAUAUUGGCCCACAUUAGACUGCAUGAAUAUGAUGGUGAGAUCACUGACUGGAAGCAGGAAAUUUUUUUCUUCUUUUUCUCUCCAGUGCAUAGAAACACCAAACACCUUGGAAUGCCAGGUAAGUAAUGUUCACUAUAUGUUUGAACAUGAUUUAUUUCCAGGUAUAACUGUGUACUCAAAAUGUGCCUUUGACUCUUAUUUAUAUUGUUAACCAUAUUCUAAAUAAACUACAAAAUAAACUACUUUGUCCUCACAUUCUUCUCGCAUACCUGACUGAGGCUCAUUAUGCGGGUCAUUGUCUCCUCAGGUGUGAAUCACAGCAUUAUUCAGGAUUAUUCACGCCUCCAUGCAUACUGUCUUUCUAAACAAAAAGUGUCUUGUUCAAUGUAUUGUUUUAUGUGAAUGCGUAGGCAGUAUGAUUUUCACAUCACUUUGAAGCAAAAAAUUCUAGGCUCCUACAUUCAGUACCCAGAAGUCCUGUGGACACAUUUAGUAUUUGUUUUUUGGCCUUAUGUCAGUGAUUUAAAUUCUUUUUUUUUCAAUAACCACGCAUAAACGUUAUUCUCUCAAAAAUACAAACAUGUACAUACAUGUUGCUAACAUAUGGUAGCCUAGUUUGUGCUGAAUACAGUGUAAUGACACUUUUGCCAUUAAUAUGUUUAUAAGCAACUGAAAAAAGCACAAAUGUCAGAGCAUGUCAAAACUUCUCCAGUUCCCCAAAAACCCUCAGACCCAAGAAGGUUAAUGUAUGUUUGAAUAAAUGUGUCAUGAAAACAUAAGUUAUUACAACAAGUUAUUACAGCCAUCAUUUGUAAUUCAAAACAUAGAAAUGAAAAAUUCAUCUCGGUGCAUCACUACAAAUCAUGAAAUUAAUUAAAACGCUAAUAUUCUCUAAUAUACAGCUGUUAGACCUUUCAUUGAGUGGUGUGUGCUAUUCCAAAUCAUACCCAUUCAAUUGAAUUUGCACAGGUUAACUCCACUCAAAGUGUAGUAACAUCUACACAUGAAAUUGGAAUGCUCCUGAGCUUAAUUUCAAGUGUCCCGGAAAAGGGUACAGAUAUUUACGCAAUGUAAUUAUUUCUUUUCUUUUUUUUUCUUUUUUUUUUUCAUAAAUUUACAAAGUUAUCACAAAUAUGUUUUUUUGCUUUGUCAUUAUGGUAUAUGGAAUGUAAAUUGAUGUGGAAAAAAGUUAUUUAAAGCAGUUUAGCAUAAGUCUGCAACAUGAAGGGGUUUGAAUACAUUUGCAAGGCGUAUAUAUAAAACUUUUAAUUAAGUAUAAAAGCCAUUUGCAGUUUCGGUUUUCAGCCAAGUGUAUCCUGAAUUUUCGGUUUUCACUAACAAUUUUGGCUACCUUAGAAGGAAGCAGAAUUAUGCCGCCACCUUUCAGAGUAGCAUUCACAUUCACAAUGUCUUAAAAUGCUGUUAAAAUGUGAGGAAGGCAGAUAACUAGGUUUUGGGACAGAGCAUACUAUUUAGGAAAAGAGAGGACAGGCCAGAUUCAAAACCUAAAUGAAAAUGUGUGUGAGGAUUCAAACUGAAUCUUUUAAAAUAGAUCUGCACGAAAGUCAGAAAUCAGACUGCAUCAGCUUAAUUAAAAUCAUUUAGUUCAGAGAAAGUCACUAUCAUGUCAGCAGUGGACUUUCAUUUUCAUGAGCAUGCAGUGCACUGGAAACAAAUCUACUCAAUGAGUUUUUCUUAUUUUAAAAUAUCUAAAAAUCAUCGAACCAAGAUAAAUGUACUUGUGGCCGUCGAACCAAGAUAAAUGUACUUGAAGUCAGCUUUAUUUAUAUAGCACUUUAUACAAUGCUGCUCGUUUAAAAGCAGAUAAAUAGGAAAAUAAUGAUUCAAUGAUGUAAACAGAAUUCAAUUCUGCUGUAAAGCAGGUCUAAAAAGACAGCAGUGUACAAUCAGUGGUGAAUCAGUUUUGUUCAAUAACUGUUCACCAAUUAUGGAAUGAGUCUUUUAGUGUGUUCAAUGGUGUAUUUUCCAGAAAGACUGUGUAGAUGUAAAGGACGGACUCAUGAUUGUGUGUGCACAUAGCAGUGAGUUAAUAAUAAUAAUAAUAAUAAUAAUAAUGAUAAUAAAUAUAGCUGCAAGCAGCGAUACGGGGGCAAACCUCUGAAGGGGCUGUAAUGGGCCCAAUGCGGAGCAGGAAGAGCAAAAACAGCAGAAAUUGAACGUACAUGAAAAACAGCUGGUUCAGGAGUACAGGAGAGAAUGAACUCAAAAGGAGUUCAGAUGAGAAUGAAGACAGAAAGAACAAAAACACACUUAUGUCUAAUCCAAGAGGAAUAAAGAUUAGAACAACGCUUACCCGGAUAAUAAAGGAAGUGAAAUUAAACAACAUUACACACAAUUUUAUAAAGUUGCCCAACAUGGGACUCAAACCCACAGUCUCUGGAUCUGGUGCCUGUAACUCAUCUCCUUGCACCACUGGGCAGGUGAACGUUCACACACCUGCCGAAGUUCAGUAGUUCAUGUGAAAAUUAAAUCAAAAUGAAGAAUUUUUAUAAAAAAUGCACCGCAUUUUAUAUUUAAUAAUUUUAGUUUAGAUCAUUCUGUAGUGCAAUGCAAAGCAGGAAGAGCAAAAACUGCAGAAAUUGAACGUACAUAAAAAAUAGCUGGUUCAGAAGUACAGGUAAGAAUGAACUCAAAAUGAGCAGAAGUCCAGAUGAGAUCGAACACAGAAUGAACAAACACACUUACGUCUAAUCCAAGAAGAAUAAAGAUUAGUACAAUGUUUACCCGGAUAAUAAAGGAAUUAAAAUGAAACAACAUUACACAAUUGGCCAUUCAGGGACAUGUUCACACACCUGCUGAAGUACAGUAGUUCAAAUGAGAACUCAAAAUGAAGAAUUUUUAUAAAAAUGCACUGCAUGUUAUAUUUAAUAAUUUCAGUUUAUUUCAUUCUCAGAAAGACUCAGUGUCUGGAACAGAAGCAACUUUUACAAAAUAACCAUUUAACAUUAAGCUAACUAGCAUAAGGACACAAACACAGGCAGGGUCAACUUUGACAUCGAGAAUACAAAUUUUGGACAAUGUUUUCAAAAGUUAUAAGCGUUUUUGCAAAAAUCCUUAUAUCUCUGAAACACUAGGUGGCACUGUGUUCAAACGUCUCAGGUACCUUCAGGACAUGCCGAUGAUGAUACCUACCAAAUUUUUUGCCGAUAUGUCGAAUUCUUUAAAAAGAUAUUGCAAUUCAUGACAAAAUUCAAAAUGCCAGACAGGUGGUUCAUCCGAUCCUGGCAAAAUCGGUAUCCCGGAUUCUGCAUGGCACAAUGAAUCCAUGGAUAUCAAGAUCAUGAUUUUCUGACAAACUGUUCAGAUGUUAUGAGCAAAAAUAGCCAUUUUUCCAAUCUCAUGACCUGUACGUGGCACUGUUUAAAAAUUUGUCAAGGACCCUCAGAUCAUGGUUUCGAUGAAGAGUAAACCAUGAUGGUUUCGAUUGCUCAAAGUUUGGCCGAAAUACAGCCUCUGAAGCGAUUUUGGGUCAACCUCAUUAAGUUUGUGACAUCGUAACUUUUUAACAAAGAUGAAUAAAAAAAAUCAGUUCAGUCAUUUCUGUGCGGCUCGGUCCAAAGAUCAUCUGAUCCAAUUUUGGACAAAGUUGGACAAAAUUUGGAGGAGGAGUAGCAAAAAAACAGAAUACUGUACUUUUCAAAAUGGCCGCUACUGUAAUGGGCGGAGUCUUAAUGUUGAAUGUGAUUAGCAUUAAGAGAGGAAUCAGGUAUACUAAAUUUCAUUUUUUUCUAGAACAAACGGUUCAAAAGUUAUAACCUUUAGAAAAGUGAAUUUUUGAACUGGUGGUGGCACUAUAGAGUUGGCCCUAGAGACUCCAAAAUUGGACCAAUCACUAUUCAUGACUAUCUCCACAAUUGUGCCAGAUUUCUUCAUUUUCUCAUGUUCCAUUGAUAGGGCUGCCAUAGACUCCCAAUCGGGAGGAAUAACAAUAAGAAGAAAACUAACAAUUACAAUUGGGGCUACAGGCUCUUCGGGGGUUGGUCCCUAAUAAUAAUAAUGAUGAUGAUGAUGGAAAACAUUUUUUGAGGAAGCAAAGGUCAUUGACUAAAUGUGAGACAUGGCAAAGAGUUAAGUAAUGAAGUUUUUCUGUCAAGGACAUGUAUAGAAAUAUCAGCAUUAAGUCUCUUCUCUGCAGCCAGUGUAUCUGUACAGUAUGUGCAUUCACAUGCGUCUCUCUCUCUCUCUCAAGCUACAGCCUUUAAAUGCGACAGAGAAAGAAAGUAGUUCCAAAGGUCAAAACAAGUCAUUUAGAUUAAAAAUGUGCUAAAGCUCAGACAACUGUUUCUUAGGGAAGCAAUGUGCUCAAAACAUCCGUCUUAGAUGAGCAGCUCAAAUGAUUUCCAGUGCAGAGGUCACAAUCAGCCCACUAAAUAAUUAACCGCUCAAAGCAAUCAGUUUACAAUAUCAAAAAACCCAAGAGCUUGAUGUCUCAAUGGUGCUUUGUGCAUGCUUCAUUAGUCCAGCCAGAGGAGGAUAAUGGGGGCAGCUCAGCUAUGGGGGGAGUGGGACAAUGGGGUCGCAAUAUAUACUUUCAAUUAGCUGCAGUGAGAGCUGGGUAUAAACUGCUCGCUAUCACUGCGUUUACACCGGACAUCUCAUCAUCACCCCCCACAAAGCAGAAAGUGACCACGGCUAGUCAAUCAUGUGGAAAAUCAAGUCUUCUCUUUAUUUAAAUUUCAUUCUGCUUUAUGGGGGAUAAUGAUGCUACUCACCAGAGGACACAGGAUAUAGUGGAUGACAGUGAGGAUCACUGGAGACCGUGCAGGAAGUUAACGCUGAUUGGAUGGACCGAGUGUGUGCAUUACAUUGAGUAUGACUUAAUUUAGAGGAAAUACAUUUUAUUCAAACAGAUCAGACAGUAUGUCUCUCAAAGCACAGAGUAAAUGUGAGUCUACUGUUAGAAAACACUUUGUUAUUUUGAUGUUUUGAAUGUUUUACUAGACAUUGAUGCUACAUGAAAAUGACUAUGAAUAUCAUCCGCAUCACCACACAUCAUUCCCAUCAGCCUGAUUCAAAAGCAAUACUUAGAUUACACCACUGAUCUAUUUCUCAUAACGCCUGACAAAAACUGUCCAUUUACACACAGACUCUAAUCAGUGGACUGGGUCCGAUCAGAAUACCUGAUCUCCAGCAUGACCAGAGGAGCCUCUUGCUGUCUGUGCUGAUCAUUUACAUGACUUACACACCCAGUAAAUAACAGCAGAGGAUUCUCACUCAAAUGUGAAACCCGUCACACUUAAGCUGUGAAAGGAAUGAUAACAGUAAACCUGCCAUCUGGGACAUUAGAGAAAUCAGUGGGUUCAUCUGAAGGCCUUUGAACUUGGCCACUUCUUAAUACUAAGAAGUGUGCAAACGCAAAGUUGAAUGUAUCCCUCGAGAUCCAGUUUCCAUGCUGAGGUACCAUGUAACUGACACACACCACCUGUUGCUGGAGGCCUUUUUGGCUUAUUUGUCGCAUGAGAAAAACUUUGUUCCCUAAAUGGAUUUAACACUCCUGAGCACACGCACGUGCCUAUUAUUAGAGAAGCCGUUGACACACCUGAACACAUGUAAAAGCAUGCACAUGCUCUCACACAUUCACACAGCGCAUUGAAAAGUGAAGCCAGAGAGGCUCUAAUCCUCUGAGAGGCCGAGGGCAAAACGACAGUCUCGUCACUCACACUCAUCAACACAUCGCUGGAGAUCCAACAGUCUCGUCUGGUGUCUCAUUCCUCUUCAAAUGAGGUAUGUGCUUGUUUCUUCAUUCUCUGCUGUGCAGGUGCAUCACAUUCGAUUUCUCCAUGACUUUAUGAGCUCCCAAGGGCUCAUGAAAAGAGAUCCAGGUUCAAAUGUCUCUCUCACUCAAACUUCAUUCUCUAAUGUCAAUGUUUUAAAACUGGGGUGAGCUCUGAACACACACCUUGAAGGCACAAAUUUCUCACUCUCUGAAUAAAGCUUUUCACUGUGUAACUGAGGAAAGUUAGAGAUCAGCAUGGAAGUUGUGGAACGUUUUACCUUAUAAUAACUGGAAAAAUGGUUUCUGCUGUCACUUAGUUCUCGUGCUGUGACAUAGGUGAAACUUGCAUUUUUUUAACUUGCCAUGAAUAAAUUUGUCUUAUUACAACUGCAGACAACAGGUAACAGCACAAGCAGCCUGCAUACUGAGCGUCACUCAUUAGAUCCAGUCAGAUUCCCUGAAUUAAUACACAGCCUCUGAGUCUGGACGCACUGGUUUGACCAGUCUGCCUGAAAUCAAAGGCAUGCAGGUGUUGCGCUUAUACAGUGAGGAAGAACAUUCAGGAUACAAACAAACCCAUAAAACAAACAAAUAAACAAAUAACACUUAGGCACUUAGUAGCAUGCAAACUAGUCAUCCAUGAGCACAACUGCAUAUUGUGUUCAAUUUCCUGAGGUCGGGGGGUAUGUGCACACUGAUGACUUUUGGAUGGAUAGAUAUUGUGAGAUCAAGACUACACACAUUUCACACACGUUCACUCUACAGUCAUUCACGGAGUGGAAUUAUUUGAAAGCUUUACUUGAAAGACUUAUUUUUUUUAUAUAUUAGGCAACAGAAAAAACUAAAAUCAAAAGCACAAGCCUCCUGAUUUCUUUCAAGCAGUCCUGGCUGGUCACACAAGGCACGUGGCGAGUGCAGGAGACACCAGCAGCCUUUCACCAGUCUGGUUCAGCACAGUUGGCCCAGCAGAUGGCCUGUCAAUAGAGGGCUUCAAGGGAAACGGGUCGUCCCAACCACAGAUGAGCCAUGGGGUGUAGAGAGCUAGAGGUGCAGAGCCGUAAUGGCGCAGGUGGAGAGUGUCCUACCAGAGUCUGUCUGGCAUGUGUUCCAGACAGUAUGUGCCAUUUUAUGCUGAUUUAUCAUCAGUCUGGUGUGAAUAUAUCAAGGGAAGGAGAACACACAGGAAUGAUCUCUAGUCAGAAGAUAGGGACGACUUCCAGUAACACCUUGGCAUGCCCAGUCCUGCAGGUGGUGAGUUGGUGGAGCAGGUAAAAGACUAUUGGCAUGGCAAUUCCACCAUCUGGAGGAGUCAGACCCUCAGUGGGCCUCAGAAGAGCGAACACAGCCAGAAGAACCAUCUCAAGAGAGAUCCGCUGCACACUCCCUGAAGUAACGAUGAAGAUGUAACACAUUGGAGAUCCGUGUCAGCGGUCCAUAGACAUCACCAAAACAACAGCAGGGAAUCUGAGUUUUCAUUCUUCAGAGGCAGGAGGUUUUUAGGACAAAGACCUGGAAAGGUCCAGCUUCAGAAGCAUUGUGGAGAACAUGCGGGCCUUUACAAACAGCCACUGGAAUUCUUCAGAUUUCAAUCUGAACAAACGCAGGCAUGCUUACAGGCCGACACCAUGCUCGACUCCCAAGCACCUUCAGGAAAUGAGCUCCACACAGACCAGCUCCCUAAAAGCACCCAAGAGAUAACAAGAGUCCCAAUAAACACUGGCUGUUUGCUUUAAAGACGCAGGGAACCCACGUGUGAAGAAUAAUCAAAACUCACUCUCGGUCUCCAGGUGAUCUUUACAACCUUUCCAAUCAUACGAAAUCAACAGUAAGACUGACCCAUGGACCCAUAAAAAUCACAUGCACAGAGGGAAAUUAGGUGUAACGUACAUUUGCAGGCAUGAUGGGAUAAAUGCAAAUAGAAUAAAAAAAACAGCCUAUCUGUAAAUGUAAAAUCAUUAAAUUAUUUUUCUGUAUACACAGGCUUUCAAUUAUAGCACAAUGUUUCCCAGGGGUUGGUGCUGUUGAAUCUCCUGUGCUCAUUGUUUGAUAAUUCUCUCUGCCACCACAAUAUAUUUCUACUCCAACCCUGUCGGACAGAGUGCAAGAACACUUUUAAGAAAGAAGAAAAAAAGAAAAAAGAAAAACCCUGAGGAAGGUGAUUGUCGGACACAUCCGUCUAUCUGUCCACAAAGGGCAGAUUUUCCCACAGGACGUCAUUAGCUCAGUCUCUCUUCUGUGUGUCCUUUCUUAAGUCUGGAGAUGGCAGACCACCGGCCUCUACCUGCUGCCUGAUUUGUAUGCAGUGGUGUGGGUGGUGGGGUCGUGUCUGGCCCACCAUAACUCGAAUUACAUGCGGGAGAUGUCCUCCUACGUGAUCCUGCAUUUUAUGCGGCAGGUCCAGAAUGUGGGGAACAGAAAAGUGGAUACGGGUCCCUGUGGGACUGCAGCACACCGGGGCCUCACAGUAUAACAUAUAAAUGAAAUGUCAAUUUAGUUUAUUAUUGAACUUUACAGCAAUUAAACCUCAAGUUCAAAGGCCACAGGAACUUUCAUACUAGAAAAUAAAUGCCAACGCUAACUCAAAGGAUGAGAGUGAGACCUUAAUUAAAUGAUGAAAAGAUGAUGGCAAGAAUUGGAACGAGAUCUGGCCAUUUGACAUACCACUCUCAAUAUGCCACUGACUUACUGGAGUUUCCUAUGCACUUUUACAUUUUAAAUUACUCUUAAUUCAACUGAAAAGGCCCAUGGAAUCAGGAAUGAGGCAUUUAUGAAAUAAAAUAUCUGCCAAGUUUGUUGUUCAAGUUUGUGAGACAAAAUGAACUGAAGAUGCAUUUACAGUGACUGUCAUCCAAUCACAAGAUAUUGUCCAGCUGUUUGCUAGUAGUUGUUCAUAUGUUUGUAUCCAACCAUGUGUGACAGGUGGUUACAUCAACUCCACUGUCUGCACUCUCACCGGUAGUCACCACAUUGUGUUGGUGCAUAUUUACAUAAAGGUCUUUGACAAUAGCCUCUGUUGCUCACGCCAACUAACAUUGCAAACUCUGAAAGACUAUGAUUGAUUUUUUUUAUUUAUUUUUUUUUUUUUUUUAAAUCUUUCACUGGAAAUCGGUCAGCCUCUUAAUAUAUCUUACAUUUAAGCCAUCAUUUUGCUUUUAACACAGGUCCUCUCUUCAAAAGUAUGCCUUUCAAAGCCAAUCUGAUGUUAGAAAUUCUGAACAUGCAAACAAUUCACAGGCAUUGUGUUUAUUGUUGCUAAAUUUCAGAACACAGAUUUCAUCCAUAUCACUCUUGUAGUAAGGACGGCAGUUGAAUGCAUAAUAAUGCAAAAGAAAAAAAACUGUCACUUAACUUUUGUAUUCAAAACACUGACGAGCUGAACAGGUUGUUGUGGACCCCAUUCUUGAUAUGAGAUAACAUGUUUAUUUGGCAACACAUGCAAUGUGACUUGUCAUUUUAAGCAGGACACAGAAAGUCAGUCUCUGUGCUUUUCUAAAAUGGGUGUAUUCAGAACUUCACAAGUCCACAUCCUGCUGAAGCUCACACCUGCACUCCUUCAGGUGAACCAUGCCUGCUUUAUACCUGCAAUCUAGUCUCAAAUUCUCAUGUGAUAUCCAUUACAUGAAGCAGAGGGAGAAUUCCACCUGCAAUUACAUGCUGAGAUAAUACAUUAUCCUCGGAUACUGAGAACAAUGACGGCUUUAAACACUCAAAUGACGCAGCAUUGGACAUAAUAAAGCAAAUUACUCAAAAACGUGAUGAUUUCUCUAAGGGCAGUCCCUGAUCUGAAAUCUGCACUUAAAGGCCCUAUCCAGGAUAAGCUGUCGAACACAAACAUUCCCCUCUUAGAGAAUAAAAAGGCUGUGAAGGUCACAACAUGUGUCACAACUCUUCUUGUAUUCCUUUUACAUACUGCUGUUUACUCACCUGCGCUCAUGAAGCAUGUGUGACACGGGGGAUCAAGUUUCAUCAUUGUUCUGACAUGCUAAAAGAAAGCCCUCAAUAACAGUCUUUAGACUUCACUCUCUCUGUCCCAAGCAGAUGUUAUCUUGUUGUAGAGCAGGGCAGCAGAAGAACUCUACCUUAACCUCAAGGGUUUGUAAUGACAGGGCAGCAUGAGGAGCCAGUGCAGAGCUUGUCUCAUCCGUUCCUGCAGACCACCAUGUAUUUCUCAUUGCCUGUUUUCAGUUACAAAUCAGACGCUCCAAAGAAAACACUAGAAUACAGAUGCAAUAUCUGAUAUUUUUAGCCUGUAUAGGCUCCCUGGAAAUUGAAAAUAGGCCUUUGUCACAAACGUUGUCUAGUCACAAAGACCACAGUCAGCUCACAGUUAAACAUCAAACCUGCACAUUCUUCUUCUGGUUUGUGGUAUUAGAUAUUUAAAGAUAGCCAACAUGACUGUAACACUUUACAAUGAGCCCAUCUGUAACAUUAAGGUUAAUUAAUGCUGUAGAAGUAUUGUUAAGUGUUAGAUAAUUAAUUUCAACAUUUACCAAUACAUUUUUAAAUGUUAAAAUUGUAUCUGUUAACAUUAAAGCAAAAUGAACUAACAUGAAUGAUCAAGGUAUAAUUAAGAUAUUAAUAUUUAAUAUUCAUAUUUAUAUAUUUAUUUCAUUUAACAAGUACAGUACAUUUUCAUGGUUCAGCCCUUUUUUUGUGUGUGUAAAGUUCAGCACUAUGUUUACUUGGAGUAUUUUGUUUGUUUUCAUUCAGUAUCCAUUUGAAAAACUAUCGGUUGUUUAAUCGUAGUUAUUGGCCAGUGCAGUCCAACCUAGUUAACGUUAUCAGUAAAAACCACUAUAGGUCGACCUCUAAUUAUGAAAACAGACAGUGCUGGUAAACUUUGUCCCUGCGCUGCAUUUCCGAAGCUCAGCUCUGCUUUCUUUUAUUCUUCAAGUGAAGUCAUUUCAGACAUAAAACUGGAGUCUCUAUUUAAAUAAUUAAACUUACGUUUCUUAAAAGAGAGCAAAUAAGUCUUCCAUUCAAAUUGUAUCUAAAAUUAGAAGCAAACUCACAUCUCUUUUGGUCCAUCUUAUUAUUAGGGGCCAAGCACCGAAGGUGCGAAGGCACUUAUUGUAUCCGUUGGCAUUCUUUUUUUUUAUUAGGGGCCAAGCACCGAAGGUGCGAAGGCACCGUUAGUUUUCUUAUUAUUAUUCUUCCGCUCUUGGAGUCUAUGGCAGCCCAUAGAACCGUAUGCUAAAAAGUUGUGAAAUUUGGCACACUGGUAGAGGACAGUCUCAACUGUGUCCAUAGCGCCACCACCUGUCCAAAGUUUCACUCAUGUUUAUGCUAAUAAAUUUUGAACCGUAAGGGCUAUAAACAAAAUUCUUUUUUCCACUGAUUCCUUGGCUCAAGACGAUUUGAUUGCACUAUGUGACAUCAUUUUCUGUCACGAAAAUUUUCCAGCCAUUUUGAUUUUUCCAAAAAAGCUACUUUUUCGAAUUCCUCCUAGGCCGUUACUCCGAUGUUCACAAAAACUGAAUCAGAUCAUCUUCAGACUAUGCUUGCAAGAAGUUAUCAAAAGCUUUUUGAUAGAUCCAUCCGUUCUCGAAAACAACACAAAUGAAUUUGACGAAAAGCUGGCCAAAUCAGACUUGAGGCUAUAUCUCCAAAAUGAUUUAUCAUAUUCUGACCAAACUUGGUACAUGUUAUCACAAGCAUGACCUGAGGCAACAUGCAGCGUUUCGGCAGAGUGCCACCUACUGGUCCGGAGAUACGACAAAUGGCUGUUUUUGCUUAUAACUUCUGAUGGGUUUGUCCAAAAAUCAUAAAUUUGGACUCGGAAAUUUGGAAUUUGGAUUCGGGGUAUCAUGCCGAGUCUCAUGAUAUCCAAUUUGACGAUAUCGACCAUUUUGGCUGUCGACCAUUUAGAAUUUUGAGUUAAAAUGCUGUAUUUUAUGAACGCAUUAACGUAUCGUUAUGAAACUCGGCUGUAUCUCUGCAAUGCUUUAUCAUAUUCAGACCAAACUUGGUACACGUCUUCCCAAGCAUGACCAGAGACUACAUGCUGAGUUUCGGUGCAGUGCCACCUACUGGUCUGGAGAUACAAAAAAUGGCUAUUUUUCAAAAAGCUGGUCUUUUUAGAUUCGGGGCAUCAUACCGAGUUAAAUGAUACCCAAUUUUCCCAUAUCGGCCAUUUUGGCAGUCGGCCAUUUUGAAUUUAGUUUGAAAAUACUGUAUUUUAUGAACGCAUUAGCGUAUCGUUACAAAACUCAGUUUGAGUCAUCAGCACGAUGCCCUGAAGGAGCCUGAGAAGUUUUGGACCAGCGCCACCUAGUGGAGAUUUUUUUUUUUUUUUUUUUUUUUUUUUUUUUUCAUAUGCUUAUAACUUUUGAUCUGGUUGACUUAUUUUCACAGGAGUCAUAUCCUUAGCGAGUGUCAUUGUCACCUCACUCUGACCAUACCACAUUAAUUGGUCACCUAUUGGUCGAAAGUGAUAAACCAGUAAAUAUUUAUUAUUGACUAUAUAUAUCAUUUUUCAGCUCUUUUGCCUAAAAUGAUCUUAAUAGGUCUUUAAUUGCUCACUGUUGCAGUUGGUCUGAUGCUCCCAGCCAUGUUGGCUGGCUUGUUGUGCCGCUUUUGUGCUUGGCCCCGUAAUUGCUGCUCGCAGCUAUAUUUUUUUUAUUAUUGUUCUUCUUCCACUCUGGGAGUCUAUGGCAGCCCAUAGAACCGCUUGCGGAAAAGUUGUGAAAUUUGGCACAUAGUUAUAGGACAGUCUGAACUGUGGCAAUAGCAAAUUUGGAGUCUCUAAUUCAAUCCCUCUAGCGCCACCACCUGUCCAAAGUUUCACUCAUGUUUAUGUUAAUAACUUUUGAACCAUAAGGGCUAGAAACAAAAUUCGUAAUUAAAAUUUUCCCGCCAUUUUGAUUUUUAAAAAAAACCCUACUUUUUCAAACUCCUCCUAGGGCGUUACUCCGAUUUUCAUGAAAAUUGAAUCAGAGCAUCUUGAGACCAUGCCGACAAAAAGUUAUCAAAGGCUUUUUGAUAGAUCCAUCCGUUCUUGAAAACGGCACAAAUGAAUUUGACGUAAAGCUUGUCAAAUCAGAUUUGAGGCUAUAUCUCCAGAACACUUGGUACAUGUCAUCAGAAGCAUGACCUGAGGCCACCUACUGGUCCGGAGACACGAAAAAUUGCUAUUUUUGCUUAUAACUUCUGAUAGGUUUGUUCAAAAUUUGGUCUCGUUAGAUUCGGGGCAUCAUGCCGAGUCGAAUGAUAUCCAAUUUUUCCAUGUCAGCCAUUUUGAAUUUUGUGGUAAAAUGCUGCAUUUUAUGAAUGCAUUAGCGUAUCGUUACGAAACUUGGUAUGGGUCAUCAGCACAAUGCCCUGAAGGAGCCUGAGAAGUUUCGGACCAGCACCACCUAGUGGAGAAUUUUUUUCCCAUAUGCUUAUAACUUUUGAUCUGGUUGACUUAUUUUCACGGGAGUCAUAUUCUUAGACUCCUGAAUCCUUGCCGAGUCCAGCGAAACCAAUCAUGCUAGGUUUCGACUUACGGUUUGUGCGGCGUGGUGAUUUAGUGCUUAAAAAAUGAUUGCGAAUAUCUUUCAAACCGUUAGUCCGAUCGAGACGAAACCAGUGUAGGAAACACGGAACCUAAGCUGGUUAACUAAAUGUCACAGCCCAAAUGUCAAUUUUGAUAGGAAGUGCCAAAAAAGCAAGUUGUCCAUGGGUCAUUUUUUUAUGAUCUCAUACAUAUAACUCCAAAAAGAAAUGAGAUAUUUGCACCAAAUUUGACACACACAUGUAUGAGGACACACCCUGAGGACACAUAAAAAAAAUGGUGGGAUUGUGCCUCUUGGUGUCACUAUAAUUGAACAAAACAUGAAAUUUCCAUUAACUACAAUGCAGUAUUAUAAUAUAAAAUGCUAUAUUAUAUGAAUGCAUUGAUGUACCAUUACGAAACUCAGGAUGUGCCAUCAGCACCAUGCUCUGAAGGUACACAAUAGGUUUUGAGAUAGCGCCUCCUUGUUGUCAAAUGUUAUAAUGAAAUUAAAAAAAAAAAAAAUGCUAAUAGCUUUAUAUAAAUGUGGCCUAUUGUAAUGAGACUGGUCUUAUUAGAUUCCAUGGGUCAUGCUGAGAACAUUGAUGCCAAUUUUGCCAUAGUCAGCAUAACUUAGUCUCCACCACUUUGAUUUUCUUUAAAAUCACUUUUCCAAUCUCCUCCUAGACCAUUGGUCCAAUUUUCACCAAAAUCGAAUCGUAUCAUCUUCAGACCAUGCCGGCAAAAACUUAUGGAUUUCAUGUUGACAGAUAAAACCAUUUUCCUAUACCGCAGCGACAAAUUAGAGGCAUGAUGCCAAAAUGAUUGUUGAGUCUGUAUCUCUGCAAUGCUUUGACUUAUUGACACCAAACUUUGCGAGUGUCAUUGUCACCCCACUCUGACCAUACCACAUUAAUUUAGUCACAGCGUCACCUAUUGGUCGAAAGUGAUAAACCAGUAAAUCUUUACUAUUGACUGUAUAUAUCAUUUUUCAGCUCUUUUGCCUAAAACGAUCUUAAUAGGUCUUUAAUUGCUCACUGUUGCAGUUGGUCUGAUGCUUACAGCCAUGUCGGCUGGCUUCGUGUGCUGCUUUUGUGCUUUGCCCCGUAAUUGCUGCUUGCAGAUAUGUUUAUUAUUAUUAUUAUUAUUAUUACUGCAUUCAAUAUUGGAAUGUUAAACAAUACUAAUUUUGUCAAAAUAUAUUCAAUUUGGUUUUUGGUUUAAAGAUUUUUUAUGAUGGCCAAUUACAAUUUCAAUUUAUUUUGAUUCAUUAUGCUAUUCUAGUUUAUUGAUAUCUCUAUGUCUUUCCUAUGAUCUUUUAAACCUUUAGUUGGAUUUGUCCUCUGAACAUCUGCUAGCAUUUCUUGUAGUAAGCCCAUCCAGAAAAUCUCUCGUCUAAAACACACUGCUCACAUUGGGCUCUUUUAUGCUCAUCCUGCACUCCCCCAUGGCCUCAUCUGUCUCAUUUGUAAGAAGUUCUAAGCUUUGCUGGUAGCACACACAUGAGUGAGCUCAAGAUGAGCAGGCACUGAGCCUUGACUUUGCUAAUGAAAUUAACUUGAGCCAUUUAAAUUGCUCACAGUCAGUGAAAUCAGAAAAGGCAGAGAUCAUGACUGAAAUACACACACCUGCAAUACAUACACCUGCAGGCCCAUGUCAUACUCUUGCAUGUUUUAAUGCUGCUGCUAAUAAUCACUGUUUUCAACUCAGUUGUAGAGAUUAGGUUGUAAUCUAUUGUUUUUACAGUGUUUAAUGUAAAUGCAUCCAUUCAAGUAUAAUGCUGCCAGCUGUCUGGCAAAUAAAUAAUAAAUAAAUAUUAUUAACAGUUGACCCUUUAAUGUUCAAUGUAGUUAGUUACUGUGUGUGAGUGACUUGUAUUGCAGCUAGCUACUUUUUUUUUUUUUUUUUUUUUUUUUUUUUUUUUGGCUUGUUUGUUUGUUUUGAGUAUUCUGACAAACUACUGUUCAGAGGACCAUCCUCAACAACUCUGGCUGUGACGUGACAACAACUUAACUGCUAUUAAGAGAAUAAUCAAAAGAUAAGCUGACUUAGAUCUUAAACUACAAAGGUCCAAUGCUAGAGCUUUAAAGUACAAAGCACAGAGGAACCUUUCAUAAAAAAAAAAAAAAAAAAAAAAGGUUUUCUAUGAAAAAAAAAAAAAAGAUGCUCAGUGCACUUGAUGAAUCAAGUUAAGGUUCUAGAGUCAUUAUCACUGCAGCUUGUCCAUGACCAACAGGCCAGCUCAUCCUGAUCAAUAAAAGGGAACUAUUAGCUGGUGCAUUCAAAGUGAGGCUUUAUUACUGUCAGCGGACAAAGUUAAUGAGCCAUUCUUUAUCUACUUCCUGUUUUUGGCCUACAUUUGCUGAACUUGCUGGGACACGGCAGGAGCAGCUCGUGUGCGAAGUGUGAAGAUGUCUAGCACAUUCUCACAUGUAAUCACAGAAUGCCAUUUAAUUCAAAACAACUGCUGAAGGCUAUGUAAGAAUCUGCUGAUCGACUCACAUUCUCUUAAAGAUUUACACAAGACAGACAUUUAUCUGAGCAUUUGAUGUUUCCUAGAUAAAUAGAUAGAUAGAUAGAUAGAUAGAUAGAUAGAAAUGCAUAAUGACAGCCGCAGAAGGAUACGGUUUAUUUAAUCAAGUUCAAUGUAAAAUACAUUAAUUACAGAUUUCUUGUACAGGUUUGGUAAAAAUUUUAGAAGGAUCGCACACUCAGUGUAGUGCAGGUGAUUGACAGUGCAGUCAGCGAGUAUAAACAGCUCACUAGAUUAAUAUGUAGCCACUGUUUAUGCAACUCCGAGACAGUGACAACACACAUCAAGUUAUUCCAGUUACAACUGAUGGAUUACACAAGUUCAGCACAUGGACAAUUAACAUGUGGGAAUAUAGAAGAGAGAGACCAGAACCUCUGAGCAGGAUCAAGAUGAGUGUGUGAUUACUGUGCCUCUAGUGUCACCAGAGGGAACUGCAAAAAUGAUGACUGUUUCCUGAACAUUCUCCCAUCUGCCAUUGGUCACACAAACACAAAGUCCUGUCCUUAAAGGGAUGGUUCACCCAAAAAUGAAAAUUAUCCCAUGAUUUACUCACCCUCAAGACAUCCUAGCUGUAUAUGACCAUCGUCUUUCAGACAAACACAAUCGGAGAUAUAUUUAAAAAUAUCCUUGCUCCUGCAAGCUUUAUAAUGGUUGUGAAUGGGGGGCCACAUUUUGAACGGCUAAUUUUUGGGUGAACUAUCCCUUUAACACCAGUGGUCGAGUCAACAUUGCUGUGUCAAGGAUGCUCAAACCAAGGGGUCAAAGUUUGGCUUCUUUUUUAUUAAAAGCAAUGAGACACUUGAUGUUGUAUUGUGAAUGCAGUCACUCUUCUGCAUCUCUAGUGACAAAAUUAAUUAUAAAAUGCAAACUCAAUUUCAUUGUUUUCUGUUCUUGCAGAUGUUUAUCAGUGUUUUCUGGAGGCUCUGUAUAAGAGUGAGUCCUACUCUCAUAUUUGUCCUGUCUGCUGUCUGUGACGUCAUGUUCUUGUCAUAUUCCAGCGGCUCCAGAAAGGAAAUGCUGACAGACAAUAUCAUCCAGGGGGAAGCAAAGACCCAUCCUACACACGACACACCUAGAACCGGUUCCACAGAUUCCAGCUCUUGCUCAGGUGGAAAACAGGGGUUUGUGCCAUAAGAGCCGAUGCGAAACAGUUUAAGUGGGUUGAUGCAUGUGCGUGACAGUGAAUGCUAUGACGCGACGAGUCAUUUUAUUAUACAAUAGUGUGGACGUGUGUGUGCGCUGUGAGUCAGCACGUUUGACAAAACAUAAUGACUCAUAUCAAACAGAUUAACAAGACAGAGAGUGACAGAGUUGUCAAGAGACUCUAAACCAGGUGGAAUCAGAGCAGAGGAGGCGGGAAGGCGUCUGGCGGGAACUGGCGCGAAACAAACAACGAGUUUCAGGACACAAACAGCAUGACUCAGGGUGGCAAGUGAGCUGAGCCUGUGCCAAGAGAGGGAAAUCCCGCCAGUCAGACAUGAGAGCGCCAAAAUUUCCCCUCCUGCCUCAAGGGACCCUGAUCCCUCGCUCCACUCCGGUGUCCUGUGUACAUGUGAAACAUUAACCUAUCCUUAGUCUCACUAACUACACAUACACUUCAUACUCCUCCUGCGUUGGGAGAAAAAAAUGGCAGAAAUUCUGUCCCUGAAUAAAAAAAUUAAAAAAAAAGAUAUGCUAAAUCCAAAUAAUAAAAUGCAAUUUACCAUAUAAUGGUUAUAAAAGCAAAACAAAUGAGUCAUCACGUUUUAAAAAGAAGAAACACUAUAUAUAUUAUACUAAAUAUACUACAUAUAUUUUGUUCCCAUAACUCUUCUGUCCACCUCUCUCCACACAACAUUAAAUGAAAGAGAGGUGCAUCACAGUACAGAUGAACACUGCUUUUGUUUCUGUCUACUUCACUCCACACAGCAGAAAUUGAAUUUCCUCCAUCGGGAACUUGGCAGAAACCGAGAAUAUGGCAGGGUGUUAUUAAAAAGAAGACAUCAGAAAGAAAAAGACUCAAUAAUUUGGUGCCGACUGUGGUGACUAUGGAUUAUGACCGAUAGAGACUAAAUGUGUUACGCAAUCAAGCAGAGAAUCAGAGCUUAAACAUCAACAGGUAACGCUAUGUUUAACCCAAGGACAGAAACACUGGUGAGAUCACACAGUAUUGAGAAACAUAAUGACUAACUACAAAUACAUUAUCGCCCAAGAGGCUGUUUGUCUAGCGAAUGCAACAGACUACAGAAGAGAGAGUCUGUAAACAUCAGUCGUGACUCUCCAUCACUGCAUUUGCACGCUCACACAUGCUUCAACACCUCUCAGCAAAAUUAAAGUGUAAGAUAAACGUUGUCUGGUGAAGGACCAAGUUCAGUUACCGGCCUGAAAGAGCAGCGGAUUGUCUACACUGGACUUUCAAGUGUGCUGAUGAUCUGAAUCAUGAAUCACCAGCAGCAUCUGAUUCAGAGAACAACUGAUGCUUCACCUCUGAUGACAACUCCUGUUCUUGCAAUCACACAAAACUGAAUGAUCUGUCUAUAAAACUUUACAUUCAAGUAUUAAGAUCUUUUAACAUUUAUACUGUCAGUGUAAGAAAAACAGAAAGAAAGACUCCACAUUCUAACCCUAACCCUCAGGAUUCAUUAUUAUUUGUGAACUAAAGACAAAGACCAUGCAGAUUCAGGGAGAAAUGAAGACUUCUGAGAAUAAAUGAAAAUUAAUCAACAAAAUAUAGGGUGCAUGCAUGAAUAAAUGUUUAUCUUCAUCCACCCCUACACUAAUCUGAAAAUCAUGAAACAAGGGGUCAAAUUUUUCUUUUAUUUUCUUUUAUUUUAAUUUUCUUUUUUUGCUUUUAACGCCUGUGUAAUCUGUUAACGAGACUGAGACCACCCAAAAAACUGGCGUUGGCUGCAGUGCAUCUGUUGAACAGAUACGCCACUCACGAAGAACGUCUCACAUUAUCAACACUUCUCUACACUGAUCUUCAUCCAAACUCAAACAUUUACAGACCUUAAAACAGGUUUAUUAGGGUAAAACCUGUGUGGUCAAUCACAUAUCAAGUCAACAGAGAUCUCAAAGUAAUUUUACAAUAUUGAAAGAUCCACAACAGUUACAGCCCUUUAAUCGGCGGCUCACGCUUAAAAAUGCUCAUGGAUGCCCACACUGAUGUUAAAGGUUAUCAUGUCACUCUCUCCUGGCUGAGAUGAGAGAAAUUUUUGACAAAAGAAGAGAAGAAAAUAAUUUGAGUUGAUAAGGUGCUCAGAAAGCUGCUUUUGCUGCCACAGCUGGUUCUUCAGUUCUAACAGCUGAAUGUGAGGGCCUCUGAUAGGCCUAAGGGUAAAGAACCUUUGAGAACAUCAAUUAGCACACAUUUGAGCUAAUGUAACUAUAGACAUCACUGCAUUAGUGACUACACAGUUACUGCCUUUAAAUAAAUCAACAUGCAGCAUAACAUCAAUGUUUCUCGGCUCAUCCUUGACUGAAGCACAGGCUCUACUCUUCAGCACAACAGCCCACAAAACUCAGACAAUACAGAAACCCUUUAAAUCCCAAGAGAACAUUAAACAAUAACAGUUUUCUCAAGAUCUCAACAUCUUCACUUCUUACAAUCCAGUUUGACUUUAUAUCUUUCAUACAAAAGUUCUUAUUGAGAAUUAACAGGUUUAGAUGUUGUUUUAAAACAUCUACAGUGAACAUUGUGAAAUUAACAACUCAUAUUGUAGUAUUAAAUAAUUUAAUCAGAGAUUUAAUCAGAGAUUUGACUCUGGGUAGUAUUAGUGAAUCAGGCCACUACAUGACUAUAUCACCACCAAUAAGUAGCCAACAUCAUCUGACCAGAUUUUCUCUUGCAUUUUUUUGCAAUAACAAAUGCGCUUUAGAAACACAGUUAAAGCAGCCAGAGAAAAGGGCAAUAUAGUCAAGGGCCAUAAGUCAAGGGUCAACUAAAGCAAGCACUGAUCACCAUAAUGAUGACAUCAAACUUUAUUUAUUUUAUUUUUUUCAAUAAAACAUCAACAUCUAAACCUCUGUCAAAUCUCAUUAAGAACUUUUGUAUCUAAGAAAUAAAGUCAAACUGGCUUGUAAUAAUUGAAGACAGAUGUUGUGUUUAACGUUCUGAAGGUGUUUGAUUGUAAUAAUUCAGGAAACACCUGUAAAACAAGAGUGUUUUUCUAUAAAACAUUUAAUGAAAAAUUUUGUAAAAGUUUUUGCACUUUAUUUAAAUUAGGAUAUUUUACUUUAAUUUUGCAUAUUUGUUUGGUAGCUGCCAGUCAUUUGACCUUAACCUUUUUUUUUUUUUUUUUUUUU